rnacentral:tRNA from 1 species
CUAAUAAUCCGCCAUCCUGUAAAGGACGUCGCUGGUUCGAAUCCAGCCAGAUGCA